rnacentral:lncRNA from 1 species
AGAUGAAUCUCCCAUCGAAAACAAAUUCAAACGUCCACAUCCAAAAUCAAAAAGCAAGAGACGCUCGAGUCCAAAGAGAGAACAAAAAGAUGAACUUAAAGAACUGGAUAGUUCUGAAAUAGAACAUAAACGAGAAUUAGUUGUGAAGUUGCAGAGAAUGACAAUAGAGGAAAUUAAGCGAAUGGUACCAUAUCAAAAUUUACCAUCCUAUUUUAUUAAAUUUGCUGAAGAAAAAAAA